rnacentral:rRNA from 1 species
UACGAAGGGGGCUAGCGUUGCUCGGAAUCACUGGGCGUAAAGGGCGCGUAGGCGGCCUUCUAAGUCAGACGUGAAAUCCCCAGGCUUAACUUGGGAACUGCGUCUGAUACUGGUGAGCUUGAGUCCGGAAGAGGCGAGUGGAAUUCCCGGUGUAGCGGUGAAAUGCGCAGAUAUCGGGAGGAACACCAAUGGCGAAGGCAGCUCGCUGGGACGUGACUGACGCUGAGACGCGAAAGCGUGGGGGAGCAAACAGG